rnacentral:rRNA from 1 species
UACGGAGGGUGCAAGCGUUAUCCGGAUUCACUGGGUUUAAAGGGUGCGUAGGUGGGUUGGUAAGUCAGUGGUGAAAUCUCCAAGCUUAACUUGGAAACUGCCGUUGAUACUAUCAAUCUUGAAUCUCGUGGAGGUAAGCGGAAUAUGUCAUGUAGCGGUGAAAUGCUUAGAUAUGACAUAGAACACCGAUAGCGAAGGCAGCUUGCUACACGAGUAUCGACACUGAGGCACGAAAGCGUGGGGAUCAAACAGG